UGCGUAGGUGGUAGGGUAAGUCGGAUGUGAAAUCUCGGAGCUCAACUCCGAAACGGCAUUGGAAACUACCCAACUUGAGGGUCGGAGGGGGGACUGGAAUUCUCGGUGUAGCAGUGAAAUGCGUAGAUAUCGAGAGGAACACCAGUGGCGAAGGCGAGUCCCUGGACGACUCCUGACACUGAGGCACGAAAGCUAGGGGAGCAAACA
rnacentral:rRNA from 1 species